CAAGAUGUAGCUUUAACUAAAGCACUCAGCUUACACCUGAGAGAUAUCUGGUAAUAUCAGAUCAUCUUGA
rnacentral:tRNA from 1 species